GAGGAAGUAACUAAUGUCUUAAAGAGUGCUGGACAGACAGGUGGAUAGAUAUCCAUGCUAUGGGAACCUGUGCAGGGUAAAGUUGAACAAGAAAAUCACAGAUUUCUGUUCCUGAAAUCACUGUGUGCUCUCUGGAAGGCCAUGCUAGACUGCAUUCAUCUUGAGACAUCACACAGGAAAUCUAAUCAUGAAUAUGAGAGAAAAUGAAAAAAAUGAAAGAGAAGGAACCAUCCCCUUUGACAAUUUGCCAGCCUGAGAAUGAGCCGUGAGUCAGCCACGUGAUGUAUAAGAUACCAACAUCUCAAC